rnacentral:rRNA from 1 species
UAUGAUCCAGAGUACCACGGGACACGUGAAACCCUGUGGGAAGCAGGAGGGACCACCCUCCAAGGCUAAAUACUACCUAGUGACCGAUAGCGUAUAGUACCGUGAGGGAAAGGUGAAAAGAACCCCGAGAGGGGAGUGAAAUAGAACCUGAAACCCUGCACUUACAAGCUGUGGAAGCACAUUUCUUGUGUGACCGCGUACUUUUUGUAGAACGGGCCAACGAGUUACGUUAAGUAGC